rnacentral:rRNA from 1 species
UACGUAGGGUGCAAGCGUUAAUCGGAAUUACUGGGCGUAAAGCGUGCGCAGGCGGUUUUGUAAGUCUGUCGUGAAAUCCUCGGGCUCAACCUGAGAAUUGCGAUGGAGACUGCAAGGCUAGAAUCUGGCAGAGGGGGAUGGAAUUCCGCGUGUAGCAGUGAAAUGCGUAGAUAUGCGGAGGAACACCGAUGGCGAAGGCAAUCCCCUGGGCCUGCACUGACGCUCAUGCACGAAAGCGUGGGGAGCAAACAGG